rnacentral:rRNA from 1 species
CAGUGAAAUUGAACUCGCUGUGAAGAUGCAGUGUACCCGCGGCAAGACGGAAAGACCCCGUGAACCUUUACUAUAGCUUGACACUGAACAUUGAGCCUUGAUGUGUAGGAUAGGUGGGAGGCUUUGAAGCGUGGACGCCAGUCUGCAUGGAGCCGGCCUUGAAAUACCACCCUUUAAUGUUUGAUGUUCUAACGUGGACCCGUGAUCCGGGUUGCGGACAGUGUCUGGUGGGUAGUUUGACUGGGGCGGUCUCCUCCUAAAGAGUAACGGAGGAGCACGAAGGUUGGCUAAUCCUGGUCGGACAUCAGGAGGUUAGUGCAAUGGCAUAAGCCAGCUUGACUGCGAGCGUGACGGCGCGAGCAGGUGCGAAAGCAGGUCAUAGUGAUCCGGUGGUUCUGAAUGGAAGGGCCAUCGCUCAACGGAUAAAAGGUACUCCGGGGAUAACAGGCUGAUACCGCCCAAGAGUUCAUAUCGACGGCGGUGUUUGGCACCUCGAUGUCGGCUCAUCACAUCCUGGGGCUGAAGUAGGUCCCAAGGGUAUGGCUGUUCGCCAUUUAAAGUGGUACGCGAGCUGGGUUUAGAACGUCGUGAGACAGUUCGGUCCCUAUCUGCCGUGGGCGCUGGAGAACUGAGGGGGGCUGCUCCUAGUACGAGAGGACCGGAGUGGACGCAUCACUGGUGUUCGGGUUGUCAUGCCAAUGGCACUGCCCGGUAGCUAAAUGCGGAAGAGAUAAGUGCUGAAAGCAUCUAAGCACGAAACUUGCCCCGAGAUGAGUUCUCCCUGAGACUUAGAGUCUCCUGAAGGAACGUUGAAGACGACGACGUUGAUAGGCCGGGUGUGUAAGCGCAGCGAUGCGUUGAGCUAACCGGUACUAAUGAACCGUGAGGCUUAACCUUACAACGCCGAAG